AGGAGAGAUGAGUCAUCAUUUGGAGCUCUUGAGGUCAUGGGAGGAUUCCAGAUACCCUUAUCCAGUACACACUCAAAACAUCCCAAGAGAAGAGGUAAAACGAUCCAGUGCAUAAUGUGCCAACAUCUGAUUCCAGAAUCCUUCAGGAAUUUUGAAGACAAAGAAGACAAGGAAGGGAUGAUUACCUGAGCUGAGCUAUAUAAUAUUUAGGAAACCAAUGCACUUCCCAGACUAGAGACUUGGCUUCCCAGAAUGGAGCUUUAAAGAAAGAAGGAAGCCUGAAGAAUAAACAUAAAGUCUCUGAGAUGUCUCCAGUGCUCUCCUUCCAAGAAACUGCCCAUUUCCAAAUUUAGCCUACUGGGGAGCAGCAAAAAGAGAAUGGGAUUCAGAGUCAGAAGACCCAGCUGAGAUAGAACACAGAUGAGAACACAGCUGAGAUGAGCACAGUGAGAUGAGCACUA